UACCUGUCCAGGUGUCCCCAGGUGUGUCCAGGUGGGAUUUGAGGGCUGGGACAGGUGGGAUUUACCUGUCCAGGUGUGUCCAGGUGUGCUCAGGUGUGUCCAGGUGGGGCCAGGUGGGAUUUGAGGGCUGGGACAGGUGGGAUUUACCUGUACAGGUGUGCUCAGGUGUGUACAGGUGUGUCCAGGUGUGUCCAGGUGUGCUCAGGUGUGUCCAGGUGGGGUGUGAGAGCUUGGACAGGUGGGAUUUACCUGCCCAGGUGUGCCCAGGUGUGCUCAGGUGUGUCCAGGUGUGUCCAGGUGUGCCCAGAUGGGGUGUGAGAGCUUGUUCAGGUGUGUCCAGGUGUGCUUGGGUGUGUCCAGGUGGGGCCAGGUGGGAUUUGAGGGCUUGGACAGGUGGGAUUUACCUGUCCAGGUGUGCCCAGGUGUGCUCGGGUGUGUCCAGGUGGGGUCUGAGAGUUUGGACAGGUGUGUUCAGGUGUGUCCAGGUGUGUCCAGGUGUGCUCAGGUGUGUUUGGGUGUCCCCAGGUGUCCCCAGGUGUCCCCAGGUGUGCUCGGGUGGGAUUUCGGGGUGUUCUGGGCUGGAAUUUCGGGGGGAGGGGUUUAACCCUUUCCGUUCCUUCUCUCUCUCCGCUGCCUCCCAAGGAGCCCGGGUAAGUCCCGCCCCCAAAAUUCCCAUUUUUUACCCCAAAAUUCCCAUUUUUUACCCCAAAAUUUCCCUUUUUUACCCCAAAAUUUCCCAUUUUCAUCCCAAAAUUCCCAUUUUUUACCCCAAAAUUCCCAUUUUUUACCCCAAAAUUCCCAUUUUCAUCACAAAAUUCCCAUUUUUUACCCCAAAAUUUCCCUUUUCAUCCCAAAAUUCUCAUUUUUUACCCCAAAUUUCCCUUUUUAGCCCCAAAAUUUCCAUUUUCUUCCCAAAAUUUCCCUUUUUAGCCCAAAAUUCCCAUUUUCAUCCCAAAAUUCCCAUUUUUUACCCCAAAAUUUCCCAUUUUCAUCCCAAAAUUCCCAUUUUUUACCCCAAAAUUCCCCUUUUUUACCCCAAAAUUCCCUUUUUUUACCCCAAAAUUCCCCUUUUUUACCCCAAAUUUCCCAUUUUCAUCCCAAAAUUUCCCUUUUUAGCCCAAAAUUCCCAUUUUCAUCCCAAAAUUCCCAUUUUUUACCCCAAAUUUCCCUUUUUAGCCCCAAAAUUUCCAUUUUUCUUCCCAAAAUUUCCCUUUUUAGCAUAAAAUUUCCCGUUUUUAUCCCAAAAUUCCCGUUUUUUACCCCAAAAUUUCCCAUUUUCAUCCCAAAAUUUCUCAUUUUCUUCCCAAAAUUUCUUUUUUUAACCCAAAAUUUCUCAUUUUCCUCCCAAAACUUCCCAAAAUUAUUAUUAUUAUUUAUCAUUAAAUAAUUUAUUAUUGCCUAAUAAUUCAUUAUAAAUUAGUGAUACAAAAAAAAAUUUAAUUUAUGGAUUUUUUUU
rnacentral:lncRNA from 1 species